GACGAACGCUGGCGGCGUGCUUAACACAUGCAAGUCGAACGGAAAGGCCCUGCUUUUGUGGGGUGCUCGAGUGGCGAACGGGUGAGUAACACGUGAGUAACCUGCCCUUGACUUUGGGAUAACUUCAGGAAACUGGGGCUAAUACCGGAUAGGAGCUCCUGCUGCAUGGUGGGGGUUGGAAAGUUUCGGCGGUUGGGGAUGGACUCGCGGCUUAUCAGCUUGUUGGUGGGGUAGUGGCUUACCAAGGCUUUGACGGGUAGCCGGCCUGAGAGGUUGACCGGCCACAUUGGGACUGAGAUACGGCCCAGACUCCUACGGGAGGCAGCGGUGGGGAAUAUUGCACAAUGGGCGGAAGCCUGAUGCAGCAACGCCGCGUGCGGGAUGACGGCCUUCGGGUUGUAAACCGCUUUCGCCUGUGACGAAGCGUGAGUGACGGUAAUGGGUAAAGAAGCACCGGCUAACUACGUG
rnacentral:rRNA from 1 species